CCCUAUUUUAUCCUUUUGGUAGAAAUAUUUUUUUUUUUUCCCUGGAACCUAAGCUUCGUUACUUAUUAUUAUAUUUAUAUAUGGAGGGCUCAGGGGAUUCCCAUCUUGGCCCAUGGUUUUCAAAACAAACCCUGAUUAAUUAAAGAAACAAUAAAAAUAUUUCUACCAAAAGGAUAAAAAAGGGAAAGAACACGUGGCAGUCUACUAUUA
rnacentral:misc_RNA from 1 species